ACACCGAAAUUAACGAAAAAUGGCAUCGAGGUUAAUACAACGAGGCGUCGAGCACCUAAAAAGUAAAGAGUUUCGUGAUUAUCUUAUGAGGGCCUGAUGUCGGGUAGACCGUUCGCCUGGUGCAAGUCUUUCAAUGUGACAUCACUUCAGCGACUUGCGUGUUGAUGGGGAUGAAACGAUGUUGAUGAUAAGGACAAAACACAACACCCAGUCCCUGAGCAGGGAAAAUGUUCGACCCAGCUGGGAAUCAAACCCAGGCCUUUAGCACACACUUCUGGGGACCUGUUGCCAACUGGGGAAUACCUAUAGCAGCAAUAGCAGAUACACAGAAAAGCCCAG